AGUGCUUCUCUUGUGAAGCACAGGCUCCUGGGUGCCCAGGCUUCAGGAGUUGGGGUGCGUGGGCUCAGGGGCUGCAGCCUCCUGGCUCUAGAGGGUAGGCUAGCAGCUGUGGCACACAGGCUUCAUUGCUCCGCAGCAGGUCGAAUCUUCCUGGAUCAGGGAUUGAACCCGUGUAUCCUGCAUUGGCAGGCGGAUUCUUUACCACUGAGCCACCAAGGAAACCCUAAAAAUGUUUAAAGUUUAAAAUGUAUUGAGCAUUUGCUUUAUAUUUAGUUUAAAAGUAGUGUUUAGCGUGUGUGAGGCAUUAUUCCAGGUACUUUGCAAAUAUUUCCUAACUUACUACUUCUUAAAGUGUGGCCUCAUGACCAUCAGGGUUCCUCAAUGCCUGAAGGUUUCUUUGAGGUCCCUUUGCUAGCUAUAUCAAUGACAGGCUGCAUCUUCUUCUUAUAGGUAAUAAAUAUCAGCAUAUCAUGAUUGACUGAAUGUGCAGAUACAGAUCUUAGGGGCUAGCUCUCGGAUGAUGAGCUAGAUCUUAAAGAGAUUUGCAAAAAUAUGGAACAAUGUCACUGUCCUCAGCACUUGUUUGUUUUGGAGCAUAGUUAAUUUUUAUUGAAAAAAUUCAUGCUAACAUGUCAUGUGUCUGUUUUAAAUUAAUCAGUGCUUUUUUAAAAAACAGCUUAAAUUUCUAGUUACAGUAGAUAUCAAUAGAUGUAACAUUUUAACAAGGUCUCUUUAAGGUCUUCAACAGUUCUUAAGAGUCCCUGAGAGGGAAAAGUUUGAGAACUGCUGCCUUACUACUUCCUAAGAAGUAUUAUUGUACUCUACAACAGAGGAAACUGAGACGCAGAGAAGUCAAGUCACUUGCCCCAGGUCAGACAAGCUGACAUUCAUGCCAUUUCCUGCUUUAGGCUAUUUUAAACAACCUUGCUGCAAGCAGCUGUCACUCAUAUUCGCCAGGAGAGGGUUGGAUCUGGCAUUCUGUGGCUUGGACCAUAUUCAUGUUUUAUCUUGUUCCACCAUCGUCCCAGAGUGGUCUCGGCUGAUUCUCUUGUUCUGUGAAAUUGUUGUCUCAGUGGGAGAGCAGCAAGGCCAGCUGAUGCCAGGUCAGCAGGAUCUUAAGUUCUCCAACCAGAAAUCAAAUCUGGGCUCGGGCAGAGAAAGCACUGAGUCCUCAUCACUGGACUUCCAGGGAAUUCCCAGAAUAUUUUCAUUGCUCCAAUCAGAAGCCCAUACCAGAUUUGGAAUUCUGGAGCAGUUUAGCUGAGCAGUCCUGAUACGGGAUCUCUCAGGAGACUGCAGUCAAGAUAUCAGCAGGGGCUACAUCAUUAUCUGAAGGCUUGACUGGGGCUGGAGGAGCCACUUCCAAGAUGGUGCCCUCAUGUAGCUAUCAAUAAGAGGCCUGAGUUUCUCUCCCUGUGGGACUGUCUUCCAGAGCUGCUUGAGUAUCCUUAUGACAUGGUAUCUGGCUUCCCUCAGAGAAGUGUCAAGAGAACACUGAAGCAACAAUUCCUUUUAUGACCUAGCUUCAGAAGUCAUAGACAGUCAUCUCUGCCACAUGCUUUUAGAGGUCAGUCACUAAGUUCUGCCUCUCAUUCCAGGGGAGGGCAAUUAGGCUCCAAAAAUUUUUUUUUUUUUUGGCUCCUGUAGAAUAUGGGAAUCAAACCCAUGCCCCCUGCAGUGGAAGCAUGGAGCCCCAACCACCAGACCACCGGGGAAUUCCCUAGAUUCCACCUUUUAAAGGUAGGAAGAUCACAGAACUCCUGGAUAUAUUUUGAAACCAUCACAAUAGGCAAUGAUAGAGCUGAGGAGCCAAAGAAGAUUGUGAGACAAAGGCAUAGAUUAUCAACAGCAGAAAGAUAUUAAUCCAUUUAGGACUAGAGAAAGGAAGGGAGGAAGUAGGACUAUCAGAGCCCAGGAGCCAGGACCAUCCAGUAGAAACUGGGCUUUCAGAGGAUCUGCAGCCUCGAACAUGCAGUCACUGGCAGAGAUGCUUCCCAAAGCAGCAAGGGAGACAAAUGCUCUGGCUUCUUCCUUCCUCAGCCCUCCAAUCUUUUGCCAGUGCCUGCGACUGGCUGAAGCUACCAGGAAGCAGAGUGAAAGGGAGCCUGGGAAACAGAUUUCCUUGUGAUACAAAGGUGAGCAGAGAGGGCCAGGAUGGGUGUGCAAUGAAGGUCCUAGCACGGCAUCUCCCAGGACGGCUUAUUUGAUUAGCUGGUGACAUUAUGGUUAAACUUGUCUUGAAUUUUCAUUUUUAUAUCAAUAUUGUUCUUCAUAAAGUAACAUUUAAAAACUGAAAAUGAAAAAAAGAAAAGAAACAU